GAAGGUAUAGAUAAGCAGCCUUCCAGUCUGUAGUGGAAGGUAUAGAUAAGCAGCCUUCCAGUCUGUAGUGGAAGGUAUAGAUAAGCAGCCUUCCAGUCUGUAGUGGAAGGUAUAGAUAAGCAUUUGUCUCCUGAUUUUAUGAAUAAGUUUUGGUAUGUAAUUGAUAUAUUAGCAUUUUCUACACUUUAUUAUCAAUAUGACUUUCUUUACUAUUGUUUAUUGGAUCACUAUUAUUAGUUUUGGCUUUUUAUUUGUUACGAGACCUUAGUUAUUGUAACAUUUUAGGGAUUUUAGACAUUUGGGAAUUUUUGUCUGACUUUAGUCUGUCUUAACCUUAUUAUCCUCAAGAUCAAGCAGGAGCAUAUAUACACCUGUGUUAUUGUAAGUUGCUUAAUGUACAACUAAAUACAGUAAGUUGCCGACUGUAACUUACAAUUAUGCAUUAAGCAGCUUAC